UUGACCUCAAAUCAGGUAGGACUACCCGCUGAACUUAAGCAUAUCAAUAAGCGGAGGAAAAGAAACUAACAAGGAUUCCCCUAGUAACUGCGAGUGAAGCGGGAAAAGCUCAAAUUUGAAAUCUGGCGGUUUUUUGACUGUCCGAGUUGUAAUCUAGAGAAGUGUUACCUGUGCUGAACCGUGUACAAGUCUCCUGGAAUGGAGCAUCAUAGAGGGUGAGAAUCCCGUCUUUGACACGGACUACCUGUACAUUGUGGUGCGCUCUCGAAGAGUCGAGUUGUUUGGGAAUGCAGCUCAAAAUGGGUGGUAAAUGCCAUCUAAAGCUAAAUAUUGGCGAGAGACCGAUAGCGAACAAGUACCGUGAGGGAAAGAUGAAAAGAACUUUGGAAAGAGAGUUAAACAGUACGUGAAAUUGCUGAAAGGGAAACGCUUGAAGUCAGACACGUUGGCUAGAAAUCAGCCCUGCUCUUGCUUGGUGUACUUUCUGGUUGAUGGGUCAGCAUCAAUUUUAACCAUUGGAUAAAGUCUCUGGGAAUGUGGCAUCUUUGGAUGUGUUAUAGCCCAGGGUCGCAUGCAGUGGUUGGGAUUGAGGAACUCAGCACGCCGCAAGGCCGGGUUUCGACCACGUUCGUGCUUAGGAUGCUGGCAUAAUGGCUUUAAUCGACCCGU
rnacentral:rRNA from 1 species